GUGAACGCUGGCGGUAGGCCUAACACAUGCAAGUCGAACGGCAGCACAGUAAGCGCUUGCUCUUACGGGUGGCGAGUGGCGGACGGGUGAGGAAUACAUCGGAAUCUACUUUUUCGUGGGGGAUAACGUAGGGAAACUUACGCUAAUACCGCAUACGACCUACGGGUGAAAGCAGGGGAUCUUCGGACCUUGCGCGAUUGCAUGAGCCGAUGUCGGAUUAGCUAGUUGGCGGGGUAAAGGCCCACCAAGGCGACGAUCCGUAGCUGGUCUGAGAGGAUGAUCAGCCACACUGGAACUGAGACACGGUCCAGACUCCUACGGGAGGCAGCAGUGGGGAAUAUUGGACAAUGGGCGCAAGCCUGAUCCAGCCAUACCGCGUGGGUGAAGAAGGCCUUCGGGUUGUAAAGCCCUUUUGUUGGGAAAGAAAAGCAGCAGGUUAAUACCCCGCUGUUCUGACGGUACCCAAAGAAUAAGCACCGGCUAACUUCGUG
rnacentral:rRNA from 1 species